rnacentral:snoRNA from 1 species
CUAUAUGAUGAAACACAACCUUUUUUAUUUUUCUGGUACCUCUUAUUUUAGGGCUGGUUCUCGUAACCAGCUCAAUGAAUGGAAUGGACUUCUGAAA